rnacentral:rRNA from 1 species
ACCCCAGGAUGGGCGAGGCCACCUGCUGAGUUUAAGCAUAUCAAUAAGCGGAGGAAAAAAAACAUUUCCGA